rnacentral:rRNA from 1 species
AGUGAACGCUGGCGGUAUGCCUAACACAUGCCAGUCGAACGGCAGCACAGUAAGAGCUUGCUCUUACGGGUGGCGAGUGGCGGACGGGUGAGGAAUACAUCGGAAUCUACUCUUUCGUGGGUUAUAACGUAGGGAAACUUACGCUAAUACCGCAUACGACCUACGCGUGAAAGCAGUGGAUCUUCGUACCUUGGGCGGUUGAAUGAGCCGAUGUCGGAUUAGUUAGUUGGCGGGGUACAGGCCCACCAAGGCGACGAUCCGUAGCUGGGCUGAGAGGCUGAUAGGACACGCUGGAACUGAGACACGGUCCAGACUCCGACGGGAGGCAGCAGUGGGGAAUAUUGGACAACGGGCGCGAGCCUGAUCCAGCCAUGCCGCGUGGGUGAAGAAGGCCUUGGGGUUGGAAAGCCCUUUUGUUGGGAAAGAAAAGCAGCAGGUUAAUACGCCGAUGUUCUGACGGUACCCAAAGAAUAAGCACCGGCUAACUUCGUG